UUCGGAAUCUUGAGAGCGGCGCACGGGUGCGGAACACGUGUGCAACCUGCCUUUAUCUGGGGGAUAGCCUUUCGAAAGGAAGAUUAAUACCCCAUAAUAUAUUGAGUGGCAUCACUUGAUAUUGAAAACUCCGGUGGAUAGAGAUGGGCACGCGCAAGAUUAGAUAGUUGGUGAGGUAACGGCUCACCAAGUCAAUGAUCUUUAGGGGGCCUGAGAGGGUGAUCCCCCACACUGGUACUGAGACACGGACCAGACUCCUACGGGAGGCAGCAGUGAGGAAUAUUGGACAAUGGGUGAGAGCCUGAUCCAGCCAUCCCGCGUGAAGGACGACUGCCCUAUGGGUUGUAAACUUCUUUUAUACUGGGAUAAACCUACCCUUCGUGAGGGUAGCUGAAGGUACAGUAUGAAUAAGCACCGGCUAACUCCGUGCCAGCAGCCGCGGUAAUACGGAGGGUGCAAGCGUUAUCCGGAUUUAUUGGGUUUAAAGGGUCCGUAGGCGGACUCGUAAGUCAGUGGUGAAAUCUCAUAGCUUAACUAUGAAACUGCCAUUGAUACUGCGGGUCUUGAGUAAAGUAGAAGUGGCUGGAAUAAGUAGUGUAGCGGUGAAAUGCAUAGAUAUUACUUAGAACACCAAUUGCGAAGGCAGGUCACUAUGUUUUAACUGACGCUGAUGGACGAAAGCGUGGGGAGCGAACAGGAUUAGAUACCCUGGUAGUCCACGCCGUAAACGAUGCUAACUCGUUUUUGGGUUUUCGGAUUCAGAGACUAAGCGAAAGUGAUAAGUUAGCCACCUGGGGAGUACGUUCGCAAGAAUGAAACUCAAAGGAAUUGACGGGGGCCCGCACAAGCGGUGGAUUAUGUGGUUUAAUUCGAUGAUACGCGAGGAACCUUACCAAGGCUUAAAUGGGAAUUGACAGGUUUAGAAAUAGAUCCUUCUUCGGACAAUUUUCAAGGUGCUGCAUGGUUGUCGUCAGCUCGUGCCGUGAGGUGUUAGGUUAAGUCCUGCAACGAGCGCAACCCCUGUCACUAGUUGCCAUCAUUCAGUUGGGGACUCUAGUGAGACUGCCUACGCAAGUAGAGAGGAAGGUGGGGAUGACGUCAAAUCAUCACGGCCCUUACGCCUUGGGCCACACACGUAAUACAAUGGCCGGUACAGAGGGCAGCUACUAUGCGAAUAGAUGCGAAUCU
rnacentral:rRNA from 1 species